rnacentral:rRNA from 1 species
CCUACGGGAGGCAGCAGUGGGGAAUUUUGCGCAAUGCUCGUAAGAGUGACGCAGCGACGCCGCGUGAAUGACGAAGGCCUUCGGGUCGUAAAGUUCUUUCGACAGGGAAGAAAAUGCAUAUAAGUAACUGUGUAUGUAUUGACGGUACCUGUAUAAGCAGCCCCGGCUAACUCCGUGCCAGCAGCCGCGGUAAUACGGAGGGGGCGGGCGGUGUUCGGAGUGACUGGGCGUAAAGAGCACGUAGGCGGUGUUGUAAGUCAUUAGUCAAAGACUAGAGCUCAACUUUAGUAAGGCUAGAGAUACUGUAAGACGAGAGUGUGAGAGAGGAUUGCAGAAUUCCUGGUGUAGCGGUGAAAUGCGUAGAUAUCAGGAAGAAUGCCGUUAGCGAAGGCGGCAAUCUGGCUGGAAACUGACGCUGAGGUGCGAAAGCGUGGGUAGCAAACAGGAUUAGAUACCCGAGUAGUC